rnacentral:rRNA from 1 species
UACGUAGGGUGCAAGCGUUGUCCGGAUUUAUUGGGCGUAAAGAGCUCGUAGGCGGCUUUGUAAGUUGGGUGUGAAAACUCCAGGCUUAACCUGGAGACGCCAUCCGAUACUGCAAUGGCUAGAGUCUGGUAGGGGAUCACGGAAUUCCUGGUGUAGCGGUGAAAUGCGCAGAUAUCAGGAGGAACACCGGUGGCGAAGGCGGUGAUCUGGGCCAGUACUGACGCUGAGGAGCGAAAGCGUGGGGAGCAAACAGG